rnacentral:sRNA from 1 species
AAAAUUUAAAGUAAAAUUAAUUAUUUUGGAAAAAAAAUUUAAUGCUAAUGACAUUAAUUGUAAAUAAGUCCAAAUCUAGGAUUUAUUUGCUAAAAUGGCUGCAAAAAUGUAUAUAUAAAUGGUUCAUGGAUAGACUUAUUCC